UGACAGGCAGUUGUGCACAACUCUGUGGGUGCUAGGAAUUGAACCCAGGUCCUCUGAAAGUGCAGUCAGUAUUCUUAAUGGCUGAAUCAUCUCUCCGGCCUUUGAUGGCUUUUCUAAAAGCCAAUUUUCACACACACAAACUCCAGUUAAAGCCAUUUCUAUCAAAACUUCCCUUAGGAAUAACACGACUUACAACAUCUGCAACAGGAACUGACGAAUCCCAGGAAGAGGUGGGAGCUUGUGCCAGUGUGGGUGCCCACUCAGUUCUGACCCUGCAAAACCAGCGCUGCAGAAUUUCUUCUAUAGACACAUGCACAAAUGCUAUCCCUCUUGGACCUACAGGAGGCAACAGCCAUUGUUGCCCUGUCCUUUCUCUGCUGCCAUUUAUGAGCUGAGCUUUUAACCAGUCUGCCACAGCCAUGCCUCAGGUCUCCAGGCUACAGCCUACGAUGUGUUAUCUUCUACUAAUAAAUGCGUGGAAUUCAUCUCUGGUUUUUUGUCACAUGGUGGCUGCUUUCUGUCUUGGGACUUCAACUAACAAUAGUUUUAUCCAGUCGGUUGGUUUGGGGUUUUGUUUUGGUUUUGGUUUUGGUUUAGUUGGAGCUAUAGAUUU
rnacentral:lncRNA from 1 species